GAAAAAAACGAAAGUGGACAUAAAUAUGUGUGAUUUGGAAUACUUGGAUGUGUUAGAAUACUAUUGAGAGUGUCCAGGGACCCAACAGAAUGCGUCAUCGACAAAAUCUCUUCAAAUUACCUGACGACAAUUUUCGAUAUAAAUAUCGAUUUACGUUUUUCGAAAUAAUAGUCAAUUGAAUGCAUGAUGAUAAUCCAGGAUGAUCCUAUGAUGCUCAACUGGGCUCGCCAUAAAAUUCAAGACUAUUUUGGCGUUUUGCACGCCGUAUCUCUGCCAGUAAUAUGCAAUGUUUGUAAAAGACUGGAAGCUUGCUAAAAUGUACAAAAAUGCCUAGAUGAGAAAGGGAACAAGAUUGUGUGAUGAAGAACAGUGUCCAACAUGUAUCAGUGCAUUUGACUGUAUAAAUAGACAUCGGAAUAAAAUAUAAUUUUCUACUUU